GGGCUGGGCCAAUGGGAGGCGGCGCUGGCGGUGCGAGGGGGCGUGGCCGGUCGGCGGAGAGGACUCCUUGCUGGCUGUGAGGGGGAUGGCGGAGGGCGCCGAGGAGGGCCCGCCCUUCCAGCUGGGCAAGCCGCGCUUCGAGCAGACGUCAUUUUACGGGCGAUUCCGGCACUUCCUGGACAUCAUCGACCCGCGCACCCUCUUCGUCACAAAGAGCCGUCUUAAAGAAGCUGUCCAGUUGCUGGAGGACUAUAAGCAUGGGACUUUGGCCCCCGGAGUCACCAACAAAGAUCUUUGGAGAGCGCAAAAAAUAAAACAGGCCAUCAUCCACCCGGACACAAAUGAGACAAUUUUCAUGCCUUUCCGAAUGUCAGGUUACAUUCCCUUUGGAACUCCUAUUGUUGUGGGUCUUCUCUUGCCAAACCAGACCCUGGCCUCCACCGUCUUCUGGCAGUGGUUGAAUCAGAGCCACAAUGCCUGUGUCAACUAUGCAAACCGAAAUGCGACAAAGCCUUCUCCGACGUCCAAGUUCAUCCAGGGCUACUUGGGAGCUGUCAUAAGUGCUGUCUCGAUAGCAGUGGGCCUUAAUGUGCUGAUCCAGAGAGCAAACCAUUUCACUCCGGCCACUCGUCUUCUGAUCCAGAGAUUUGUGCCAUUUCCUGCAGUAGCUAGUGCCAACAUCUGCAACGUGGUCCUGAUGAGACACACGGAGCUGGAGGAAGGAAUCAACGUCAUGGACGGAGACGGAAACAUCGUUGGAUCCUCCAGAAUCGCUGCCAGACAUGUAUGCGCUCUUAGAGACGGCCCUCACGCGGGUGGUCCUGCCGAUGCCUAUACUGGUUCUACCUCCCAUCAUCAUGUCUCUGCUAGAAAAGACGUCCCUGCUGCGGUCCCGGCCUCGGCUGGUCCUGCCUGUCCACAGCCUCGUGUGCCUUGCUGCCUUCGGCCUGGCCCUCCCGCUGGCCAUCAGCCUCUUCCCGCAAAUGUCCGAGGAAUAUUUGGUCUCUAGAGCAGAGUCGAGUGCAGUGUAGCCAGUGCUAUGUAGGAGCUUAUGGCAGGAAGCAGGAGAGGAAAAUAUGCCAAGAUCGAGACGCAGCGCCUGGAGCCGGAGAUUGCGGGGGCCACCACCAGUAAGACCGUGGUCUACAACAAGGGAUUGUAGGCCGGCAACGGAGAGGGGAGAGAGCACCACGGGAGGAGGAGGAGGAGGAGAAGGAGAGCUACUUCCAAAGAAAGGAAGGAGAAAUAAGAGGAAGAAGAGGAGGAGGCAAGAGCGUGUCGCAUCUUCCCCUUGCAAGAACCGAGCACAAAUUAACACUUCCGCAGACCUGGAGAGAAGAUUAGUACUUAAAGUUUUAAAUUAGUGACAAAAGAGAGAAGUGUGCUUUGAGGAAGCUCAGCGCAAGCAUCCUAGAUCCGUGGCCCUGCUGAACUUUGCUUUGGAGAAGCAGGCUCCCUUUCCUCUUUCUCCAUCUCCUCCUCCACAAUCACACAGCACUUUCCUUCCCGACGAGCAGAAACCGUGCAUAAAAAAAAUCUCCCGGCGCAUAGUAUGAGAAGCAGCCCGGAGUGCGUUCUGAGCAUCGUCAUGGAUUCGGCGGUGUCCGUCUUGCACCUGCGUGGAAUCAAUCCCAGACUUGCAGCACUUUGGCUUUGGAUUCUUCGCCAACGGCACAGGGAAGGUCGUACCUGCCUAGGUGCCCCAACAUCUCCUCUUUCUCUUCUUCUUCUUCCUUCUUUUCUCUUCCCACAAAACAACACACAUACACACGGCCUCAGGGCUGCCUUAAUGUGCCACCAGAUCUCUCCCGCCUUCCCUUCCGUGGGUGAGUUCACAAUCUAUAGUAUAGUUUUGCAAAUGGCACAAAACUGCAGGGCUGUUGUGGCAUUGAACUUGCCUUUUGUAUGUAUGGCAGUGGGCCUCACUAAGGGUGUGUCUACAACAGGUAUGAGCCAACUUGGGCCUUCCCUCCAGGUGUUUUGGACUGCAACUCCCACCAUUCCUAACAGCCUCAGGCCCUUUCCUUUUCACCCCCAGCCGCUUAAGGAAAGGGCCUGAGGCUGUUAGGAAUGGUGGGAGUUGCAGUCCAAAACACCUGGAAGAAGGGCCCAAGUUGGCCCAUGCCUGGUCCUCACUGCCUCACCAAACUACAACAUGCAUUGAGUCACAAAGUAGUAAGACUACGCCACAAAUGACAGCUUUUUGUGUAGAUAUUUUUACCUAAAAAUAUUUUCUGCACAGAAAAAUAACCCCACCGUUUCCUGUGCAGAAUGGAGCCAAAAAUAUUGCAGAAAGUAUUUUUCCAUAUACAGAUUUUGCACACAAUAAGUCUUGAACAAACACUCCAAAACCAUGUGUUUCGGAGGCUGUUUUUAAUAUUCUUUCCACAUUUUGUUGUGAACUCGGUCUUUGCAGGCCUUCUCUCAUGCUCACCCCAUGGCUCCAUCUACACUGCACAUAAUGCAGUUUGAAAGCACAUUAUAUGGUCAGUGUACACUCCUAUAAUGCUGUUUAAAUUAGUCUACACUGACUGGGAUGCCAGUCCUGCAACUGCAUGGUAUUAAUUAAUGAGACCUCAGAGAACUGAAGCCAGCUGCUUACCAUGAACUGAUUGAUUGAUCAAUCCAUAGAUCUAGUGAUUUAUCUGUGAGGGAAAGUGUCCUGAGCCCCACGUUUCCUCUUCUCAGAGUUAACCCCACUAACGUUUACUCACUUUAUUGCUGUGGAAUAACUUAGAGCACUUAACAGGUUUUGACUAACAUAGAUAAAAGGAGUUUGAUUAAUGCCACUGUGGGACCAACCCAUAGGAAUCAAUGGCACUGUUUGUCCCUUUGUGGCAGCCACAAGCGGGGCCUCAUCCAGAUAUGCACUUUGUGGUGUGCAGCGCCAACACAAUGGAAGGCUUUCCCAAGCGGUUGGGCUCAGUGGGGGUCUGUUUUCGGACUAUUGUUACCCGUAUCCAGACAAGUGAGGCCCAGUAGUUUUCGGCGUCCUUAUUUCUUUCGAAUGGCUGCCGUUCUCCUUAUCCAACCAAUGUGAAUGAGAUCUACCUGCGAGUCAGUUUUGGGAUGUUUGGGACAUGUGGCUGCCAUGUUUCUCCUUUAUUUCCUCCCAGGUUGGUGUAAUCCACACCCAUUCGAUCUUGAACCCUGGAACUCCAGGAUUCUGGAGUUUUAGGAUUCUAAAACUUUGGAGCUUUAGGAUUUGCAAUCUAAUGGCUCCCAAUCAAUCAAGAGUGGCCAUUAGACCAGGAGGAGAAGCAUGCUUUCACUUGCACAAUUUGCACACUGAUGGCACCUUCCAGGGCCUCGCCUCCCGGUCUUGUUUGCAGUAGUACACUGGAUCACCUGAAUGUACACCUGGCCCCUUUCUCCCAGGUGAGAUAGAUACGAAUGGGUUUGGAGAACUUUACGCUGAUGCCCAAAAGUCUCACGGGGAUGAUGCUGUCGCAGUUCAACAGCACUUUUUGAGGCUCAUUUUGGGGGUUUUUUUUUGGACCCUUGGCCUUUUCCAUAAGUUCCACCCUUUUCUGGACCCAUGUUGGUUCUUGGUGUGGAAGCAGUUUUAGGGAUCAGGCUUGUUCUUUCUUCUUGGUUUCUAAAUAGAAAUACCACCAGUUGCAACGUGAGGCCAGUACUUGCAGGUGAAGAGAGCCAUGUUCAAUGUGCACAGUCCCAUCUGUCUUUGCAAAGGAAAUUUGGGACUGGUUUCAGGUCAGGUUGGAAGGUUACGGCAGGGACAGCUAGUGCAGAGGAACCCUGUUUGAAACUGCAAAUUGGAAGAUAUUUGUUUACCAAACUCAUCCAGUUGAUGGGCUUUGUGUGUUGGACCAAGGCUCAAACUUGGCCAGUGGCAUCCCAGUGCAUUCUUCCCCAGAAUUUGGUGAUCCUUGGCGUUUCCAGAUUCACAAGGCCCGUGAUUGGGAGUGACAGACUUUUGGAAGGUCUCCUGGGUGUUGUGCAUGUGCCCUCAAACCACCUGUUGAACUUGGGAGAAUCUCUGAUAAGAAAUACUGCCCAAGAGAACUAAUUUCGGAAGCUAAGGAGGGUUAGCAUGGAUGGCACUUUGAGGGUAAGACAAACCAAGGAUGUGCGUGUAAGGAAAGCAUGAAGAUGGUCCUGACUGCCCUUCACAUCAAGUGCUACUGAUUUCAGGAAUAAAGCAGGACCUGGCCUGGUGAAGAUGUAGAUGGGGGAGGUCAGGGAUUUGGCUUGAAGCCACUGUAACUGCCACAUCAAAAUCAUAACAGUUGGAAGGGGCACCUAGAGGCCAUCUAGUCCAGCCCCAUUCUGCUCAACGCUGCAUCUCCAUCUAAUGCAGUGGUGGGACUCCAGCUUCCAGAAGCCUUGGCCAGUUUGUCCAAUGGAGCCGAAAUCCAAAACACCAGUAGGAUCACAGAUUGGACAUCACUGAUCUUAAGCACAACCAGCCUCUCUUUGGGGACAUCCAGAGAAGGAGACCCUAUUGCAUCUUUGGGUCGUUGGUUCCAUUGCUGAACCGCUCUUACCAACAAGAAGUUUCUUCCAAGGUUCAAUCAGCAUUGACUGGUGGACCUACCCCUCCUUCUUUAGGAAAGCCCUUGAGAUACAUCUCUAGUGUCAGGUAUGUUAGAGGUCCCCCAAAAUUAGCUUGGGUUCUCCCUGCCCCUGGAAUCGGCAGCCUCCAGAUCCUGAACAGUUUGAUCUGAGACAUGUACUUCCAAAAACUGCUGCGCCACAUCUUAUCUUUGCUCUUCCCCUGCCUUUGUGCUUCUUAAAUCAAGCACACUGGAACUCUCUUUCUGUCAAGAGAACCCUCAGUGGCAAAUGCUUUAUUUCUAGUAAUUUACUUACGAGGCCGUCACGACGGAAGAGCAAGAACAUGAUCGCCACUUUUUGAACCAUUACUCUUAUCUCUGUUGCCACCUGUGGACAUGACAUCUGGGUUGGCCACUGUUGCCCCACCAGGUAUGACAUUCCAGGUCCAGUCUCUCCAUGUACUGAUUAAUUUAACCCCUCAGUUACCCAUGCUACCAGGAACAUGUCUUGGGAAUGAUUUUCUCCUAGCUUAUAAUUCCACCAAUCGAUUAAUAAGGUAUCCCCUCCUUUGCCAUCCAAAAUACGAGGGUUGAAUGAAAAGUAAUGCCUCCGCCUUCAUAACUCUUCAACAGAUGGCAGUCCUGGUCUGCGGCAGGUCCUGGCUUAUUCACUGGACUCUCCUCUGCAGUUCCAUUUGGAGGGAAGCCUUAGCAUGGAACGGUUGUGUUGUUAAAGUGCGAAGUAUGGAACCCUGCGCAGACGGUCGGUCAAUGCGACUUAAACAAUGUGCAGUCACUGAAUUCUUGACAGCAGGAGGUGUCACCCCAAAGGAGAUUCCUCAGAGAAUGCAAGUUGUUUAUGGUGAUUGUGUUGAUGUGAGUCCUGUGCGUCAUUGGGCAAUGAAAUUUAAACAUGUUGAGGUGGGAACAUCUGACUUGCGUGACAAACAAAGAAUUGGAUGUCCUGUGACAGCAACCACCGAGUUUCACAAGCAAAAGGUGGACAGAUUGAUUCAGGACGAUCAUCGUAUCACUCAGAGAGAAAUUUCAAGCAUAAUCGACAUUUCACAAGAACGUGUGGGUCACAUUAUUGCUUUGCUUGGCUAUCAGAAGAUCUGUGCACGAUGGAUACCCAGAUCUUCAGAGACUGGAUCUCACCACAGUACGGCAUCCUCCACACAAUCCAGAUUUAGCACCGUCUGACUUCCAUCUGUUCCCAAUAAUGAAAGAAGAUCUGCAGGGACAUCAUUAUGCUUCUGAUGAAGACGUUGAGAGAACUGUGAGAUGCCGGUUGCGGAAACAGAGUGUCGACUUCUUCAGUGACGGCUUCAGAAAACCUGUUCAUCGUUGGCAGAAAUGUAUCCAAUUGUCUGGUGAUUAUGUGGAAAAGUGAAUAGUGGUUGUUACAGAGCACAUUCUAAGGAUUAUUUCUGCAUUUGAUUUGUUAAAAUAUUCCCAUCCAAACCAAAGUAACAAAGGUGGAGGCAUUACUUUUGAUUCAACCCUCGUAACUCUUGAAUUGGCCUUUCGUCAAGUUGCAACUGGUUUUGGAAGCUAAGUAAGGUCAGGUUAGGGGGUCACCUGUAUUGGAAGCCGUGAGAAGGUUUGGGGUCUUCCAGGUAGGGCUUGGAACAAGGAAUCCUACCUGAGAUAGUAGAGAGCAAUGGGCAAAUGGAUCUUUAGGGAGCCAUAGGUUGAGCUAUAGCUCGGGCAUGGGCCAACUUCGGCCCUCCAGGUGUUUUGGACUCCAACUCCCACAAUUCCUAACCGCCUACCGGCGGUUAGGAAUUGUGGGAGUUGGAGUCCAAAACACCUGGAGGGCCGAAGUUGGCCCAUGCCCGAGCUAUAGCUUCUCCAUCCUCAAAGGAAUCAGGGCCAGGCCUUCAUCCAACCCUCUUGACGAACAAACGAGCGGCUAAUUAAUUUCACCCCUCCCCCUGCACAUGUACCAAAGGAGCCGCAGAUUGGCGAGGGCGGCAACGGCGGUGUUUUAUCGUUUCCCGUAAUUGGCAAAGCGGGGAGGGAAGUGCCGUGCCACGUCGUGGGUUGCUCACCUCGGCAUCUCUUUCUAAUGAGACAAUCCUCUCGCGCGGCCGUUAAUGAGGAGCCGAGCAGCUAAUUGAUUUCUUGGGCACGUUAAUUAAGAAAUAAUGAGAGCCAAGCAGGAGCAGAAAGAGGGGGUGCCUUCUCUUGUCGCAAAGGAAAAGGGUCUCCCACUAAUGCGAGGAGCAUGUCUGUGGUGGGAAGGGUAAGGGGGUCUCUUUUGCCCCCCAAAGACCCCUUCGUACUUUCCCCGGAGCCUCUUCUUUCCCAGGAAUGGCACAGCACGACUUACAACAAGGAGAGAAGUUCAGCAAAAAUUAACUUAAGCAAAAAUCAUCCACAGAUAGAGGAUGUGUGACUCCUGGCCUGGAAACGGUUCAUGGAAAACGGAUCUAGGAGUCCCAGGAGACCACAACCUGAACAUGAGUCAAUAGUGUGAUGCAGCAGCUAAAAAGGCCGAUGCGAUUAUAAGAAUAUAAUGUCCAGAUCCAGGGAAUAGGACUGAUUGACUCCUGACUUGAACACAGCUCAUGUGAAAGGGAUCUAGGGGUUUUCAUAGACCUCAAUCUGAAUGUGAGCUAACUGUGAUGCAGCUAAAAAGGUCAAUGUGAUCCUAAGAAUAUAAUGUCCAGAUCCAGGGAAUAGGACUGAUUGACUCCUCACUUGGAUGCAGCACAUGUGAAAGGGAUCUAGGGGUUUUCAUAGACUUCAAUCUGGAUGUGGGCUAACAGUGUGAUGCAGCUAAAAAGGCCAAUGCGAUUCUAAGAAUAUCAUGUCCAGAUCCAGGGAAUAGGACUGAUUGACUCCUGACUUGAACACAGCUCAUGUGAAAGGGAUCUAGGGGUUUUCAUAGACUUCAAUCUGGAUGUGGGCUAACAGUGUGAUGCAGCUAAAAAGGCCAAUGCGAUUCUAAGAAUAUCAUGUCCAGAUCCAGGGAAUAGGACUGAUUGACUCCUGACUUGAACACAGCUCAUGUGAAAGGGAUCUAGGGGUUUUCAUAGACUUCAAUCUGGAUGUGGGCUAACAGUGUGAUGCAGCUAAAAAGGCCAAUGCGAUUCCAAGAAUAUAAUGUCCAGAUCCAGGGAAUAGGACUGAUUGACUUCUGACUUGAACACAGCUCAUGUGAAAGGGAUCUUAAUAGACCUUAAUCUGAAUGUGUGAUGCGGCAGCUAAAAAGGCCAAUGUAAUUCUAAGAAUAUAAUGUCCAGAUCCAGGGAAGCAAUAUGUAAUAGGACUAAGUGACUCCUGGCCUGGACACAGUACAUGUGAAAGGGAUAUAGGAGUCUUAAUAGACCCUAAUUUGAAUGUGUGAUGCAGCAGCUAAAAAGGCCAGUGCAAUUCUAGGAAUAUGAUGUCUAGAUCCAGGGAAGCAAUAUGUGAUUGGAAUGAGUGACUCCUGGCUUGGACACAGUACAUGUGAAAGGAAUCUAGGAGUCUUUUAAUAAACCCCAAUCGGAACGUGAGUCAACAGUGUAAUGCAGCAGCUAAAAAGGCCAAUGCGAUUCUAAGAAUAUAAUGUCCAGAUCCAGGGAAGCAAUAUGUGAUAGGAAUGAGUGACUCCUGGCUUGGACGCAGUGCAUGUAAAAGGGAUCUAGGAGUCUUAGUAGAUCCCAAUCUGAAAGUAAGUCAGCAGUGUGAUGCAGCAGCUAAAAAGGCCAAUGUGAUUCUAUGCAGCAUCAAGAGGAGUCUAGAGUCUAAACUGAGGGAAGUCCUAGUCCCACUCUAUUCUGCUUUAAUUAGACUACACUUGGAAUAAUAACCCUGUGUCCAGUUUUGGGCAAAAUAAUUCAAGAAGGUGAUGGACAAGACGGAAGGAAUCGACUACAAGUUGAACAUGAGUCAACAGUGUAAUGAGGCAGCUCCAAAGGCCAAUGCGAUUCUAAGAAUAUAAUGUCCAGAUCCAGGGAAGCAAUAUGUGAUAGGAAUGAGUGACUCCUGGCUUGGACGCAGUGCAUGUGAAAGGGAUCUAGGAGUCUUAGUAGAUCCCAAUCUGAAAGUAAGUCAACAGUGUAAUGAGGCAGCUCCAAAGGCCAAUGCGAUUCUGGGCAGCAUCAAGAGGAGUUAGUGUCUAAAUCAAGGGAAGUUCUCUCUUCUGCUUUGGAAGAAUAACCCUGUGUCCAGUUCAAGAAGGCAAUGGACAAGACGGAAGGUGUCUAGAGAAGGGUCACCAACAUGGCCAAAGGCCUGGAAGCCAAGGUUUAGAGAGCUGGAUAUGUUUAGCUUGGAGAAGAGAAAGUUGAGAAGAGCCAUGUUUAAAUAUUUGCAAGGAUGCUCCAUUGAGGAGGGAGGGGCAAGGUUGUUGUCUGCUUUUAAACAAGCUAGUUGGACAUCUAUCGAGGGUGUUUUGAUUGCGCUUUUCCUACAUGGUAGAAUGGGGUUGGACUAGAUGGCCCUUGGGGUCUCUUCCAACUUUAGGAUUCUAUCCUGCUCCGGAGACUGGAAAAAUUGAUUCCACCUAAACAUGAGGAAGAACCUCCUGAUGGUAAAAGCCAUUCAGAGUCUGGUGGAGUCUCCUUCUCUGGAGGUUUCCAAACCGAGUGUGGAUGGCCAUCUGUCAGGAGGGCUUGGGAGGUGUCUUCCAACUUGGCAGAAAGAAAGGGGCUGGAUUGGAUGGCCUUUAGGAGUCCCUUCCAACGCCAUCACUGCAAUUUGCCAGGGCCUGAGCCUCCCUGAGCAAAGGGCCACGUUCCUUAGAUGAUGGGCUUGCUCCUUACGGUGGUCUUGAGCCCCGAACCUGGGACCUCAGAGUGGGUUUGGGGAUUUGGGGGCUUCCCUUCUCCUUUGCACUGUCACUUCGUCUUCCAGCCACUCGCGAUGGCGGCCUCGCGCGCUCCCCGAGUGCCGAUACCUCCGUCAAAGGCCAACCAAACGGGCACAGUGUCUUUUUAACUUCUUCGAUAUAGGUUUAUUGAUCACAAGACUUUAUGUAACACUUCUAAUCGGAAUAAAAGCUGAUGCAUCUAAACCUCUU